rnacentral:misc_RNA from 1 species
GAUCCGUUGGUGAACCAGCGGAGGGAUCAUUACAGGACUCGCAAGACUCCUUCACCCUGUGAACCUCACUACAAGCACGUUGCUUCGGCGGGUGUCCCGGCGGGGGUUUUCCCUCGCCGGGGCGCACAGCCCGCCGGCAGCCUACUAUACUCUGUCUCUUUGCGUUGGCAUCUCGAGAAAAAACAAACAAGUUAAAACUUUCAACAACGGAUCUCUUGGUUCUG